rnacentral:pre_miRNA from 1 species
UUGGUACUCCCUCCGUUCGGAAUUACUUGUCUCAGAAAUGGAUGUAUCUAGAACUAAAAUACAUCUAGAUACAUCCAUUUCUACGACAACUAAUUCCGAACGGAGGGAGUACUUU